AUUCCAGCUCCAAUAGCGUAUAUUAAAGUUGUUGCAGUUAAAACGCUCGUAGUCGGAUUUCGGGGCGGCUUCGUCGGUCUGCCGAUGGGUAUGCACUGACGCGGGCGUCCUUCCUUCCGGAGACGCGUCCUACUCUUAGCUGAGCGGGGCGUGGAGACGGAUCGUUUACUUUGAAAAAAUCAGAGUGUUUCAAGCAGGCAUCAUCGCUCUUGCAUGGAUUAGCAUGGGAUAAUGAAAUAGGACCUUGGUGCUAUUUUGUUGGUUUCGAGCACCGAAGUAAUGAUUAACAGGGACAGUCAGGGGCACUCGUAUUCCGCCGAGUGAGGUGAAAUUCUCAGACCAGCGGAAGACGAACCACUGCGAAAGCAUUCACCAAGGAUGUCUUUAUUA
rnacentral:rRNA from 1 species